AGUAAUAAUGUCUAUUAUAUACAUAUAUUAAAGCGCAUGGAACGUUUGAACAGGAAAGUAUUUGGAUUCAGAGUUUGGGCACCAAUGUGAUUUAGCUCCUCCGGUAGGAAAGGUUUUGCAUUGAAAGUUUGGCCACCAGUUUUUUGGGAUUUAGCUCCUCUGGACCCUGUACUUUAAAGCGAUAUGUUGGUAACGUCAUCACCCGGUUUAACAGACUUUUGACCAUAUGUUUGGGUUUUGCCUCUUCUUCCUCCUACGUGCUUCUUUUGGUUAACGCUAACUUUUUGGGGGUCGUCUUGGCAAAACUGUUGGCUUCGCUUCAUACGUUUUAUGUUGCUGAUGAUUUGCCGCCAUUCUCCUCCAAUGACCUUGGUUCCUCCACCGCCUAUCCAUGUUUUCCACUUGACGGCCGCUUUUGGGUUUUUUUGGUAACCCUUGCUUCCGCCCUCCUUUCAACUGCAGCAACGUUAGUGGAAACCAUGGAUUCAACCAACAUUGUCGAAAAACCCAUCAGAUAUCGGCGUAAGUUUUUCUACCCAUGCUUAGUCACUAUAAUUCCAUGCUUUCAAUUUAAAACGGUGUACAAUAUGUUUGAAAUUUUAGUACGUUAUGUUUUUCCGAUAAAUAACCAAUUACAUGGUAGAUGAAGGCAACAUCUGUCAAAUAUUUUGAUUUCGCACCCCAGCUGUUCGAUGGAUAUCCCUGUCCUAGCUGGGUCAAUCUUCCUGAUCGGUUCUCCUCUUUCGGACAAAUUACACGGCUGACAUGAAACCACUUGGUUCUUCAGCUCAACAUUUAGGUCUUAUCACUUCUAAAAAUGGAAGAGACCAAACUACCCCCAGUUUUGGAUUUUUAGACAUAACAAGGAAGGGCGUCAACCGACCAUAAUGAAGGCUUAUGAUUGACAUCUAAUAUAUUACCUUACUUAUCAAUCACAACCAAUCUAUUUCAGAGAAGGAAUUAAGGAUAAAAAAAUCAGAAGUCAUGCUUUACCGACUAAACCAAGAGUCCUGUUUCACUUCUUUUUUAGGUUGAUUUCACCAAUUGAAGUAAAAGUAUUGGGAUUUUUUUUUCAGUAUUUAAAGAGAGAGUUAUUAAUUUAUGAUUGUUUAGCGGCUGAUAAGGUGGUUGGGUUAUGUAUGUAUGAAUGAAAGUGAAGAAUGAGUUAUGGAAAGAUGGGGCCAGGCAGGACAUGAGCAUUAUAUCCAAACACACGAAUUGGAAGCAGAGGUGAUUCGGGUCUUGGGAUGUCCUUCAUGCUCAGUGGCUGGAGCAGGGCUGAUGGAUACUACAAUUCAGGGUGCUCUUGAAGUAGGAAAGUCGGUUGGUGUAUACUCUUGUAUUUUCAUUGUUUUUUUCUUAUUAAGACAUUCAAAUUUUCCAUUAUGAAUUGGUGUUAUAGCAAAUAGGAUGUUAGAAUGCUUUUGUUAAAGAAACUGCCUUAAAUCAAAUACCUGAUCUUUGGUAAAAAAAAAAAAAAAAAAAAAAAAAAAAAAAAAGAA